UACGGAGGGGACUAGCGUUGUUCGGAAUUACUGGGCGUAAAGCGCACGUAGGCGGAUUUGUAAGUCAGGGGUGAAAUCCCGGGGCUCAACCUCGGAACUGCCUUUGAUACUGCAAAUUCUCGAGUCCGGAAGAGGUGAGUGGAAUUCCUAGUGUAGAGGUGAAAAUUCGUAGAUAUUAGGAAGAACACCAGUGGCGAAAGGCGGCUCACUGGUCCGGUACUGGACGCUGAGGCACGAAAGUGUGGGGAUCAA
rnacentral:rRNA from 1 species